rnacentral:rRNA from 1 species
GACGAACGCUGGCGGCGUGCUUAACACAUGCAAGUCGAGCGAUGAAACUACUUCGGUAGUGAAUUAGCGGCGAACGGGUGAGGAACACGUGAGGAAUCUGCCUUCUACACUGGGAUAACUCCGGGAAACCGGGGCUAAUACCGGAUAUGAAACUUGGUGGCAUCACCGAGUUUGGAAAGUUUUUCGGUAGAAGAUGACCUCGCGGCCUAUCAGCUUGUUGGUGAGGUAAUGGCUCACCAAGGCGACGACGGGUAGCCGGCCUGAGAGGGCGACCGGCCACACUGGGACUGAGACACGGCCCAGACUCCUACGGGAGGCAGCAGUGGGGAAUAUUGGGCAAUGGAGGAAACUCUGACCCAGCGACGCCGCGUGCGGGAUGAAGGCCUGGUGUAACGCUUCAGUAGGAGAAGCGAAAGUGACGGUACCUACAGAAGAAGCACCGGCUAACUAUGUG